AGUCGUCAUCAUUUUUUGUUUAAGGUGCAAGUUAAAUGAGUUGAUGGCUGUACUGGAAUGUUUACUUCUACCAGAUCUGAUGUAGCUAAACCAACCAGGAGCAGAUAAUUGAAGAUUUUCAGUGUUUGUUAAUCACUGAUGACAUGCUUUGGAAGUACUCAAAACAAAGGAUUCCCAGGUAUUAGAGGAGCAGCGAGCAAUCUCCCUUUGGAUAUUUAUGAGAAUUUUCUAGCAGACUUUCUUGUACAUGGGAGCAACUUUGACAGCUGGGAACCCUGGGAAGUGUUUGAUAGCUGGAGAAUAUUUCCCUCCAGGUUAGAAGAGACACGAGGCAUCCUAUUUUAGCUUUUCACUUCCCCAAAGGAUAUCUUGGGAGUAGAUCACGGAAUAAGAGAAAACCUAGAACACAGAACUACAUUAAAG
rnacentral:lncRNA from 1 species